GGGUUGUGAGGUUAAGCGACUAAGCGUACACGGUGGAUGCCCUGGCAGUCAGAGGCGAUGAAGGACGUGCUAAUCUGCGAAAAGCGUCGGUAAGGUGAUAUGAACCGUUACAGCCGGCGAUGUCCGAAUGGGGAAACCCAGUGCAAUUCGUUGCACUAUCGUUAACUGAAUACAUAGGUUAACGAGGCGAACCGGGGGAACUGAAACAUCUAAGUACCCCGAGGAAAAGAAAUCAACCGAGAUUCCCCCAGUAGCGGCGAGCGAACGGGGAGCAGCCCAGAGUCUGAAUCAGCUUGUGUGUUAGUGGAACGGUCUGGAAAGUCCGACGGUACAGGGUGAUAGUCCCGUACACCAAAAUGCACAGGCUGUGAACUCGAAGAGUAGGGCGGGACACGUGGUAUCCUGUCUGAAUAUGGGGGGACCAUCCUCCAAGGCUAAAUACUCCUGACUGACCGAUAGUGAACCAGUACCGUGAGGGAAAGGCGAAAAGAACCCCGGCGAGGGGAGUGAAAAAGAACCUGAAACCGUGUACGUACAAGCAGUGGGAGCACCUUCGGGUGUGACUGCGUACCUUUUGUAUAAUGGGUCAGCGACUUAUAUUCUGUAGCAAGGUUAACCGUAUAGGGGAGCCGCAGGGAAACCGAGUCUUAACUGGGCGUUAAGUUGCAGGGUAUAGACCCGAAACCCGGUGAUCUAGCCAUGGGCAGGUUGAAGGUUGGGUAACACUAACUGGAGGACCGAACCGACUAAUGUUGAAAAAUUAGCGGAUGACUUGUGGCUGGGGGUGAAAGGCCAAUCAAACCGGGAGAUAGCUGGUUCUCCCCGAAAGCUAUUUAGGUAGCGCCUCGUGAAUUCAUCUUCGGGGGUAGAGCACUGUUUCGGCUAGGGGGUCAUCCCGACUUACCAACCCGAUGCAAACUACGAAUACCGAAGAAUGUUAUCACGGGAGACACACGGCGGGUGCUAACGUCCGUCGUGAAGAGGGAAACAACCCAGACCGCCAGCUAAGGUCCCAAAGUCAUGGUUAAGUGGGAAACGAUGUGGGAAGGCACAGACAGCCAGGAUGUUGGCUUAGAAGCAGCCAUCAUUUAAAGAAAGCGUAAUAGCUCACUGGUCGAGUCGGCCUGCGCGGAAGAUGUAACGGGGCUAAACCAUGCACCGAAGCUGCGGCAGCGACACUAUGUGUUGUUGGGUAGGGGAGCGUUCUGUAAGCCUGCGAAGGUGACCUGUGAGGGUUGCUGGAGGUAUCAGAAGUGCGAAUGCUGACAUAAGUAACGAUAAAGCGGGUGAAAAGC
rnacentral:rRNA from 1 species